ACGUAGGUGGCAAGCGUUGUCCGGAAUUAUUGGGCGUAAAGCGCGCGCAGGCGGUCCUUUAAGUCUGAUGUGAAAGCCCUGGGCUCAACCUGGGAAUGGCACUGGAUACUGGCAAGCUAGAGUGUGGCAGAGGGUAGUGGAAUUCCUGGUGUAGCAGUGAAAUGCGUAGAGAUCAGGAGGAACAUCCGUGGCGAAGGCGACUGCCUGGGCCAACACUGACACUGAGGCACGAAAGCGUGGGGAGCAAACAGGA
rnacentral:rRNA from 1 species